UCUCUUUUUUUACUUAAUUUGGAUUUUUAAUUUUCUUUCUCAUGAUUGUUUUGUCGACAAAAAACAGAUUUGUGUUCUUCAACUAUGGUGGGUUUUGUCUGUUGAAAUUAGGGUUUUUUUGGGAUAAAUUUUGAAUUCUCCUGCAUUUUGAUUCUAUCUUGUAUCCUUCACAGUUGUCUGUUGAAAUAACUUCUAUUUGCUCUUUGCUCUUUGGUGUUUCAUGUCUGCUGCCUGAUUAAGUUACAUUCUGCUGCCUGAUUAAGUUACAUACUAGCUUCUAUUUGCUGUUUGGUGUUUCAUGUCUGCUGCCUGAUUAAGUUACAUCUAAUUACAUGUACAUGUAAUUUAAAACGUGGAAGAGAAAACCAGAAUAGUUCUCUUGAAAUGCUGUGUUUAUAUUUUAUUACAAGAAACAAUAACCAUUUAUGUGAGUCUGCCAAUUCUGUGAAGUGAAUGGCAACCACUGAAUUGAAAACACUUUGGGUUAAAAUGUCCAUAUACUUCUCCAGUUCUUAAACUUGAUUUUGAAAUAAAAAAUUAAACAACAUGAUUUUUAUAAUAAAACUUAUUCUUCACAGAAUUAAAUUCCUACUAUAAAAUUUUGAAAAAUACAACCACUAUAAAUUAAAUUUCCUACUUUGAAAUUUUCAAAAAUACAAUCACUAUAGACAUAUUUUAACCAACACUAUGUAAUCCUGAAGUGUUAACCCCCCACGCCAUGAUAAACACCAAAUCAUUCUUUUCAACUCAGAUUAAUUAAUUUGAAUCAUUGGUACAUCAACAAAACACACCAUACCACUGCAGAGCACUGGUGUAUACAUUUAUUUAAAAAAGAAAGUAAGAAAAACAGCAUCUUUGUGUUAUUACAUGUAGGAGCAUACGUGUGUGUGUAUAUAUAUAUUACAUCUUACUAUAUAAGACAUGUAAAAGGAGAUAGCAGUAGGUUGGUAGGUAGGGAAGGGUAGCUAAAUGAAGCAAGGUAGGCCUAGGCUGUGCCAGUAACGCCCAAGUCUUGGUUGUCAUCGUUGUUGGGAGAGGGAGAGCCAAAGAUAGGGCCACCUUCGCCAGUAGGAUCUUUCACCUUGUCCUCCAGCCUAUCAACCUGAAUGCUUAUAUUUGGUUGAAGAAAUUUGGGUGUAAAGAUACGGCUUAGAAGAGUAAGUCCCAAAGGUUUGAUAAAAGGAGGAAGAAAGUUUUCUGUGAAGAAGCAGAUAAAAAAGUGGAGUGUUUUGGAGAGCAAACCCUUUUUUUUCCUCAUUUAUUUCUCCAUUCAAACUUCAUGUGUGGUGAAGCCGUUAUAUAAUGAUAAAGUAUGAUUGAGUUUAUAAUGUCGUAAUUACAUGGUGGAUUUUAAUUUCUAAGCAAGAAGUUCUGUGGCUGAACUUUCUGUUUUGUCCUGCCCAAGCAAGGAGUUUUAAUUGUGAAAUGGUUUCUGAGGAUACUAUCCAUGCAUUAAAAAUGAACAGCUGAUUAAUAAUAUUGACAGUGGAGUUUUCUUUAGGAAUUAUUUGUCUUUUGAAGCCUCUGAUCUAUUGCAUUCUCAUUUUUUGGUGUUUCUGUUUCAUUAGAUCAAUUCAUUUUAUACAACUUUUCUUGCUUUUGUUUGAAUAUUUGUUUUAUGCUGUUUUUCUUUUCUUGGAUUUUAAUUUUGAUCUAAAGUCACUUGAUUUUUGGAUUUUAGUUUUGAUCUGAAGUUACUUAAAAUGUAGCAUCUAUAAUCUUCAAGAUGUUCGAUUUUCAGUAUAUCUGGGUCUUAUUAUGGCUUGUUUGUCGAGGAAUUCUAAUGUGUGGUUUUGGAUAUAGGUUUAGAGGACAGCGUUUUACAUGUGGAGUAGUGUAUAAUCUAUCAUAUGUAACAAUUGAGUGGUCUGCACAACAGAUUGCGGAAGCAUGGGGAGUAGCUGAGAGGUUGGAGUCCGCUUGCUUCUGGAGUGCUUACUGGAAAAUACAACAAAGGAAAUAGACCACCUGACAGUCGGUUUGCUUUGGAAAAUUUCAAAUUAUGGCUCGUCUGCCUUUAAUUGCACAACGUGAGAGGCGUAAAAGAAUUGGUAUUGCUGUGACAAUAUGGUUGGAAAUCUGUAGAAUUGCGAUUUGGUUCUUAUUUAGAAUGGGUGCCAGCCUUAGCCUACAUACUUAUAGACCAAGGAUUAUGUCCUAUACCUUAGAUUUUUAUGCAAAACGGGAUUAUGUGAAAAGGCUUGUAUAUGCUAGUGACGAGACCUGUAUUGAACAAGUUAGGAUGAAUAAAUCUGCCUUUUUUUAACUAUGUGAGAUGUUAGAAUCGAUAGGGGGAUUGAAGUCGUCAAGAAACAUGCUUGUUGAUGAGCAAGUAGCAAUGUUUUUACAUAUCAUCUCCCAUCCCCUGAAAAAUCGAGUUAUCAAGCAUCACUUUAGAAGGUCCGGGGAAACUGUAAGCAGAGCAUUUCAUAGUGUUUUAAAUGCCAUCAUACGCUUACAAGAUGUCUUAUUUAAAAAGCCGGAACCAAUUACAGCCGAUUAUUCUGACACAAGGUGGAAAUGGUUUAAGGUAUUAGACUGAGUUUUAUAUAUAACUUGUACAACAUUUAGUUGACUUAGAUUUAAAUUAGUAUUCUAACUCAAGGUUUUAUAUCAU